rnacentral:rRNA from 1 species
CCUACGGGAGGCAGCAGUGGGGAAUAUUGCACAAUGGGCGCAAGCCUGAUGCAGCCAUGCCGCGUGUAUGAAGAAGGCCUUCGGGUUGUAAAGUACUUUCAGUCGGGAGGAAGGUGGUAAGGCUAAUAUCCUAAUCAAUUGACGUUAACGACAGAAGAAGCACCGGAUAACUCAGUGCCAGCAGCCGCGGUAAUACGGAGGGUGCAAGCGUUAACCGGAUUUACUGGGCGUAAAGCGCACGCAGGCGGUUGAUUAAGUCAGAUGUGAAAUCCGCGGGCUUAACCCGGGAAUUGCAUCUGAUACUGGUCGGCUAGAGUCUUGUAGAGGGGGGUAGAAUUCCAUGUGUAGCGGUGAAAUGCGUAGAGAUGUGGAGGAAUACCAGUGGCGAAGGCGGCCCCCUGGACAAAGACUGACGCUCAGGUGCGAAAGCGUGGGGAGCAAACAGGAUUAGAUACCCCGGUAGUC